AUUGAACGCUGGCGGCAUGCCUUACACAUGCAAGUCGAACGGUAACGGGCCUUCGGGUGCCGACGAGUGGCGAACGGGUGAGUAAUGUAUCGGAACGUACCUUUCAGUGGGGGAUAACGUAGCGAAAGUUACGCUAAUACCGCAUAUUCUGUGAGCAGGAAAGCAGGGGAUCGCAAGACCUUGCGCUGAUUGAGCGGCCGAUAUCAGAUUAGCUAGUUGGUGAGGGAAAGGCUCACCAAGGCGACGAUCCGUAGCGGGUCUGAGAGGAUGAUCCGCCACACUGGAGCUGCGACACCGUCCAGACUCCUACGGGAGGCAGCAGUGGGGAAUUUUGGACAAUGGAGGCAACCCUGAUCCAGCAAUGCCGCGUGAGUGAAGAAGUCCUUCGGGUUGUAAAGCUCUAUCGGCCGGGAAGAAAUCGUAUCAGCUAAUACCUGGUGCGGAUGACGGUACCGGCAUAAGAAGCACCGGCUAACUACGUGCCAGCCGCCGCCGUAAAAC
rnacentral:rRNA from 1 species